rnacentral:ncRNA from 2 species
CCGGGUUCUCAGGGCGGGGCGAAACUCCCCACCGGCGGUAUCCGGCGUUGCCGGGAGCCCGCGAGCGCUUCCACUUCGGUGGAAGGCAGCAGAUCCGGUGCGAUGCCGGAGCCGACGGUAUAGUCCGGAUGGAAGAGGACAAGG